rnacentral:rRNA from 1 species
AAUAGGAAGGCCGUGGCCUCGCUCGCAAUGAUCGCCUCAUGGGCAAUAUGGAACGAGAGGAAUGCAAGACUCAUCCACCACAGGAGAAACCCACCGAUGAUCCUUCUUGCCGACAUAAAAAGCGAAGCGAAGGUUUGGGUCUACGCAUGGGCAAAAAGAUUGGUAUAA